rnacentral:rRNA from 1 species
UACGUAGGGUGCGAGCGUUGUCCGGAAUUAUUGGGCGUAAAGGGCUCGUAGGCGGUUUGUCGCGUCGGGAGUGAAAACCUCGGGCUUAACUCGGGGCUUGCUUUCGAUACGGGCAGACUGGAGGUAUGCAGGGGAGAACGGAAUUCCUGGUGUAGCGGUGAAAUGCGCAGAUAUCAGGAGGAACACCGGUGGCGAAGGCGGGUCUCUGGGCAAUAACUGACGCUGAGGAGCGAAAGCGUGGGGAGCAAACAGG